GCCUUCGUGGUGUAGCGGUCAGCACGCUCGGCGCAUAUUCCAGAGGUCCGUGGUUCGAAUCUCGGUGAGGGCA
rfam:Stegodyphus mimosarum contig36401, whole genome shotgun sequence.